rnacentral:lncRNA from 1 species
GGGGCUCAAGCUUUUUUGAAACAAAAACUCAUUUUUUUAACUUUUUUUUUUACCUCAAAACACACAGAAAACACCAUGAACAUCUUGAUAAACUCAUUAAUAGUUGAACUAUUCGACACAAAAUUUAACUGUUUUGGUGGUCGGGAUCGAUGUCAAUGAUAUUUUUUUUCUCUCUACCAUUAAAAUUCAACAACUUUCUCUUUUCUCUUUCAAACUAGGAAUUAAAAAGAUAGGAAAAUAAAAUUUUAAACCAAAAUUGAUUUUUGUUAAGACUUCGAAAACUAGAGGGACCCAAUUGUUAUAAUUAGUAAACAAUAAUGACUAAGUUGGACAUUUCUUCCAUGCCAAAGCAUAGUUAUAACUUUCAACACCAUAAAUAUAACCUGUGUUAGAUUUUAUUUUAAAAUAAUAUUUUUUUUUUAUGAAAAUAAUAUCAUUUAUUUUAUAAAAAAACGACAUGAUUUCAUUGCUUGAAUUGACUGGUCAAAUCGCUGUUACCAUAUCAAUUCUUAAACCUAGUGUUAUAACUUUGUCUAAAUUCAAGUGAAGGAAACAGGAAGAAAGCCUCGAUUCAUCAACAGAAUUGAUUUCGCUCAUGAUUGUUCUCUGCUUUUUGAUAUUCC